rnacentral:rRNA from 1 species
UACGUACCGUCCAAACGUUAUUCGGAAUUACUGGGCUUAAAGGGUACGUAGGCGGCGCUGUCAGUCGGGUGUGAAAUCCCAGGGCUCAACCCUGGAACUGCGCCCGAUACUGCAGUGCUUGAGGGAGACAGGAGGUAAGCGGAACUGAUGGUGGAGCGGUGAAAUGCGUUGAUAUCAUCAGGAACACCAGUGGCGAAAGCGGCUUACUGGGUCUCUUCUGACGCUGAGGUACGAAAGCUAGGGGAGCGAAGGG